UACGUAGGUGGCAAGCGUUGUCCGGAUUUAUUGGGCGUAAAGCGCCCGCAGGCGGCUCAGCAAGUUUCAGGUGAAAUCUCCUGGCUCAACUGGGAGGGGUCUUGGAAAACUGCUGGGCUUGAGGCAGGGAGAGGGAUGCGGAAUACCAGGUGUAGUGGUGAAAUGCGUAGAUAUCUGGUGGAACACCAGUGGCGAAGGCGGCAUCCUGGCCCUGUCCUGACGCUCAGGGGCGAAAGCGUGGGGAGCAAAC
rnacentral:rRNA from 1 species